UACGGAGGGGGCUAUCGUUGUUCGGAAUUACUGGGCGUAAAGCGCACGUAGGCGGCUUUGUAAGUUAGAGGUGAAAGCCCGGGGCUCAACUCCGGAAUUGCCUUUAAGACUGCAUCGCUCGAAUUGUGGAGAGGUAAGUGGAAUUCCGAGUGUAGAGGUGAAAUUCGUAGAUAUUCGGAAGAACACCAGUGGCGAAGGCGACUUACUGGACACAUAUUGACGCUGAGGUGCGAAAGCGUGGGGAGCAAACAGG
rnacentral:rRNA from 1 species